UAACAUGUUGGACGGUGCACUAGGAAU
rnacentral:piRNA from 1 species